rnacentral:rRNA from 1 species
UACGUAGGGUGCGAGCGUUAAUCGGAAUUACUGGGCGUAAAGUGUGCGCAGGCGGCUUCGCAAGUCGAGUGUGAAAUCCCCGAGCUUAACUUGGGAAUUGCGCUUGUGACUGGCGUGCUGGAGUGUGGCAGAGGGAGGUGGAAUUCCACGUGUAGCAGUGAAAUGCGUAGAGAUGUGGAGGAACACCGAUGGCGAAGGCAGCCUCCUGGGCCAGCACUGACGCUCAUGCACGAAAGCGUGGGGAGCAAACAGG